GGUAGAGGAGAGCUCUGGGCCUUUCUCUGCCACUCCAUUGAUUGCCAGAGUUGAUUUGGCUGGUCUGGCUGGCUGGGCAGGUUGCUCUCCCUCCCUAUUCCAUGUGUCUCCCUCUGAAGCUGCACUCUCUACAGAAGAGGACAGCCUUCCCUGAUAGGGAAGAACUGCCCUUCUGUCAGGGGUAUGUAAGUAGCUCCUGCUAAAACCUCCAAACAAAUCUGCAAGUACCUUUGAGGGCAAUGGAAACUUCUAGGGGACUAGAACUAACAUAAGAAAUCUAU
rnacentral:snRNA from 1 species